rnacentral:rRNA from 1 species
CCUACGGGAGGCAGCAGUGGGGAAUAUUGCACAAUGGGGGGAACCCUGAACCAGCGACGCCGCGUGAGUGAUGAAGGCUCUCUGUAUGUAAAGCUCCAUUUGUAGGGGAGUAGAACGCCGGUACCUUACUAAGAAGACCCGGCUAACUACGUGCCAGCAGCCGCGGUAAUUCGUAGGGGGCAAGCGUUAUCCGGGUUUACUGGGUUUAACGGGAUCGUAGGCGGCUGUGUGAGUCUGAAGUGAAAUCCCAGUGAUCAACCCUGAGACUGCGUUUGAAACUGUGGAGCUAGAGUGCUGGAGAGGUAAGUGGAAUGCCUGGUGUAGCGGUGAAAUGCGUAGAUAUUAGGAGGAACACC